UACGUAGGGUGCGAGCGUUGUCCGGAUUUAUUGGGCGUAAAGAGCUCGUAGGCGGUUUGUUGCGUCGGCUGUGAAAUCCCGAGGCUCAACCUCGGGUCUGCAGUCGAUACGAGCAAACUAGAGUGUUGCAGGGGAGACUGGAAUUCCUGGUGUAGCGGUGAAAUGCGCAGAUAUCAGGAGGAACACCAAUAGCGAAGGCAGCUCGCUGGGACGGUACUGACGCUAAGGCGCGAAAGCGUGGGGAGCAAACAGG
rnacentral:rRNA from 1 species